rnacentral:lncRNA from 10 species
AUAUAAUGACCUUCUUUGUCUCUUCUUACACCUUUUUUCUUGAAAUCUACUUUAUCUAUUAUUAGUAUAAUGACUGUUGCUAUUUUUGGUUUCCAUUUGCAUGGAAUAUCUUUUUCAAUCCCUUUCUUUUCAUUCUAUGUGUAUCUUUAUAGCUAAUGUGUGUUUCUUAUAGACUACAGAUUGUUGUGUGUUUUUUUUUACUUAUCCAUUCAGCCAUUCUAUGUUUUUUUGAUUGGAGAGUUUAGUCCAUUUACAUUCAAUGUUAUUAUUAAUAAGGAAGAAAGUACUCUUGCAUUUUGUUAUUUUUUUCUGUUUGUUAUGUGGUCUUCUCUUCCUUCUUUCCUUUAUUUCUGUCUUCUUUUUAGAGAAGGUAGUUUUCUCUGGUGGUAUGUUUUAAUUUCUUGCUUUUUCUUUUUUGUGUAUCUGCUGAAUGUUUUUUCAUUUGAGUUACCACGAGGCUUGCAAAUACCAUCUUAUAACCUAUUGUUUAAAUAGGUAAGUUGAUGACAACUUACCACUGACUGCAUAAAAUUUUGUUUUUCUCAUUUUAGGAUCCUUUCUUUAUUCUUGACCUUUGGUGUUUGAUUAUUAAAUGUCUUAAGGUAGCCUUCUUUGAGUUAGAUCUAUUUGGUGUUUUAGUACCUUCUUGUGCUUGAAUAUUGAUAUCUUUCUCUAGGCUUGGGAAGUUCUGUGUUAUUACCCAUUUGAAUAAAUUUUCUAUCCCUCUCUCUUCCUCUACCUCCUCUUUAAGGCCAAUAACUCUUAGAUUUUCCCUUUGGAGGUUAUUUUGUGGAUCCUGUAGGCAUGCUUAAUUCUUUUUUAUUCUUUUUCCUUUUGUCCCCUCUGACCAUGUAUUUUCAAAUAUUCUGUCUUCAAGUUCAAUAAUUCUUUCUUCUGCUUGAUGAAUUCUGCUGGUAAGAGACUCUGAUGCGUUCUUCAGCAUGCCUAUUGAACUUUUAACCUCCAGAAUUUUUGCUUAAAAUUAUUUCAAUCUCUUUGUUAAAUUUACAUGAUAAUAUUCUGAAUUGCUUCUCCAUUUUGUCUUGAAUUUCACUGAAUUUCUUCAAAACAUCUAGUUUGAAUUCUUUGCCUGAAAGGUCAUAUAUCUCUGUUUCUCUGAGAUUUGUUCCUGGUGACUUGUUUAGUUUAUUUGGUGAGGUCAUAUUUUCCUGUAAGGUUUUUAUGCUUGUGGAUGUUUGUUGGUGUCUGGGCAGUGAAGAGUUAGGUAUUCAUUUUAUUCUUUUCAGUCCGGGCUGGUUUGUACCCAUCCGUCUUGGGAAGGCAUUCCAGGUAUUUAAAGGGACUUGGAUGUUGUAAUCUAAGUUCUUGGUCACUGCAGUGGUAUCUGCAUUAGGAGGCAGCUAAAGAUUAGUAGUGCUGUGGCUCUUGCAGACUCAUACAUGUACCACCUUGGCGGUCUUAGAUAAGAUCCAGAAGAAUUCUCUGUGUUGUCUGGCACGGACUCUUGUUCUUUUCCCUUACCUUCUCUCAAUCAAAUGGAGUCUUUCUCUGUGUGCUGAGCUACCUGGAUCUUGGGGAGGGGUGACACAAGCACCCCUCUGGCCACCUCCAAUGGGACUAUGCUGUGUCAGAACUGAAGCCAGCACAGCACUGGGUUUUGCCCAAGGCCCGUGGUAACCAUUGCUUGAUUACUGUUUAUGUUUCUCUCAAGGGCCUAAUGCCCUACAAUCAGCAGGUAGUAAAGUCAGCCAGACUUGUGUCCUCACCCUCAGGGUGAUGAGAUCCCCCUCCCCAUGCUAGUCCAGAGAUACCAGCUGGGAGCCAGGGCCUGUAUUUAAAAACCUUAGGAAUCUACCUGGUUCUCUUUUCUACUGCAGCUGAGCUGGCACCCAAUCCACAAGACAAAGUCCUUCCCACUCUUUCUUUUCCUUUUCACAAGCUACGGACUCUCCCAAAGCUAUUACUGCCCCAGGCCUGUGGUGAGUACUAUCUGGUUGGUUACUCCCAAUGUUCACUCAAGACCCAAGGUCUCUUCAGUCAGCUUUUGGUGAAUGCUGCCAGCUCCAGGACUCUCCCUUUAGUGCAGUGGGCUUCCCUCUGGCCAAGAGAAUGUCCAGCAAUGCUGUCUGAUAGCCAAGUUCUGGAAUUGAGGGCCCUAAGAGCUCACUGGGUGCUCUACCCCAGUGUGGCUAGCUUUUACUUAAGAUGCAAGACAAAGUCUUCUUUACUCUUCCCUCUCCUUUUCUCAAGCAGAAGGAGUCUCUCCCCAAACCCACCAUAGCUGGGAAUACGUUGGAUCACAUCUAAGCCAGCAUGUCU